rnacentral:rRNA from 1 species
AAUUGGAGGGCAAGUCUGGUGCCAGCAGCCGCGGUAAUUCCAGCUCCAAUAGCGUAUAUUAAAGUUGUUGCAGUUAAAAAGCUCGUAGUUGAAUUUCGGGAUCAAUAUUUCGGUCAUGCCGUUGGUAUGCACUGUUAUCAUUGAUUUCUCACCUUCUAAAGAACCGUAAUGCCAUUAAUUUGGUGUUACGGGGAAUUAGGACUGCUACCUUGAAAAAAUUAGAGUGUUUAAAGCAGGCUCACGCUUGAAUACAUUAGCAUGGAAUAAUGAAAUAGGACAUCCGAUUCUAUUUUGUUGGUUUCUAGGAUCGAUGUAAUGAUUAAUAGGGAUAGUUGGGGGCAUUAGUAUUCAAUUGUCAGAGGUGAAAUUCUUGGAUUUAUUGAAGACUAACUACUGCGAAAGCAUUUGCCAAGGAUGUUUUCAUUAAUCAAGAACGAAAGUUAGGGGAUCGAAGACGAUCAGAUACCGUCGUAGUCUUAACCAUAAACUAUGCCGACUAGGGAUCGGAUGAUGUUAAUUUUUUAAUGACUCAUUCGGCGCCUUACGGGAAACCAAAGUGU